AAGGUGUAUCCCGAGCAGGGACAUUCAGCUGUGUCCCGGGGGACACUGAGCCACGGGGAGGCGGCUGGCCAGGACGUCAGCUUGGCAGAAUCCGCCAAUUCACAGAGGAGGAAACUGAGGCCCCGAGAAGGAGGGGCCAGAUGAGGCUUUUUCCAAACCACCGGGCAGGAUGAGGGGUCAGGAGGCCUUCUUGGCAGGGAUCGAACCCAUGCCCCCGGCACUGGAAGCAUGGACUCUUAACCACCGGACCACCAGGGAAGCCUGCCAUCUGUUUCUUCAGAGUGAUUCACUUUUUUAAAAAUGGAAAUGCCUAUUUCAGCCUCAUCUUAGCAAUAUUGGUCAAGAAAUCAUGGAUUUUAUGAACUGAUGAUACAUUUUUUUUUCUUUCUGAUACACAUGAAAAUGCAUAAAGUAAAAAUGUUUAACUACCUUAA